rnacentral:rRNA from 1 species
UACGUAGGGUGCGAGCGUUGUCCGGAAUUAUUGGGCGUAAAGGGCUCGUAGGCGGUUUGUCGCGUCGGGAGUGAAAACACCGGGCUUAACUCGGUGCUUGCUUUCGAUACGGGCAGACUAGAGGCAUGCAGGGGAGAACGGAAUUCCUGGUGUAGCGGUGAAAUGCGCAGAUAUCAGGAGGAACACCGAUGGCGAAGGCAGUUCUCUGGGCCGUAACUGACGCUGAGGAGCGAAAGCGUGGGGAGCGAAC